rfam:Vibrio mytili strain CAIM 528 contig00020, whole genome shotgun sequence.
UCACGCACAGGGCAAACCAUUUGAAAGAAUGGGACGCAAAGCUUCCGGCCUGAACCCUAUUUUUUAGUGGAAGGUAGCGGGGUUGCCGAU